rnacentral:lncRNA from 12 species
UUCCCGUUGAAGGGCUUGAUAUUUAUUAGCUCGGCGGUGAGCUGGUCAGCGGAGAUCCACGCUCCAGGGGACGAGCCGAGUCCAGCUCCACAGGCCGCUCCACCCUCCUCUGCUCAGACCAACUGGAGCUCCUCCCGGGGCAAUGCUGGCUGGCGCCCGGGGUGCAGGAGGUGGCACCGGGGGCAGCGGGCCCGCGUCUCCCUGCAGGAGCGGGGCUCGGGGCUGUGAAGGAGCCUGGCUGGCCCUCUGGCGGGGAGGCCACCCGGGCCUGCUCAGGACGGGCAGCGAGCUGGGAGCAGAGUGGACGCCAGCCCCAGAGAUGCCCGCAGCCCUCGGGAGCACUCCCUGGAGGACGGCCGCCCCGGCCUCAGCGGCCCAGGAGCAGCUGGUUGGCAAGAGUUCGCUCAGGCUGCGUCGGUGACACGCUUUGGAGCAACGCGGUCCGGGCAGCGCGCAGCAGAAGCCUGAGGUUUUGCCCCAAGAUGUCAGUGUUCUUUUGAGAAAGGCGAGGCCGGUUCAGGAACGUCUGUGGGGUUCCCCCGUGGCUCAACCCCUGCCCCGUGCUUCCCCGCAUGCUCUCCGGCUCAGCCACGCAGACUCGACUCGCGGCUUGAGGAUGACAACUCGGGGCCACCCUGCUCCUUGGGUCAACCCCGGGGCCUCGUCCUGAUUCAGAAACAAGCAUAUUCACUCAUGGGGCUGGAGGUAGGGCCGCCCGGGCGCAGCCACCCACUCCUGCAAAGCGUUCCCCCCCCCGGGACCCGGACACCUCCUGGCCGCAUCGGGGACGAAGCACCGGCCCCCACCUCCCCUGCUGCCGGGUCCCUGCCCAGGCUUUUGGCUGAGGAUGCCCCGACGCGGGCGCCCACCGUGCCUGCGAGCAGCUGCGCGGCCAGGAGGCCCCGAGGGCCCGGCGUCAGCGCUGCACGCACCUGAGCCUCGCACCUGUGCUCUGAUGUGUGCUCCCCGACGAGGCACCAGGGACCGGACCUUCUGCUCCUACAUCCAGGCUCUGACGGGCCGCUCCCUACGCGGGUGACCACGCUAUCUCCCCACUCCCGGCCCACGGCAGGGAUUACUUAAAAUUUGGAUGCUGGGACCUCCGGGGGGCUCAGCGGUGGGCGUCUGCCCUCAGCCCAGGCCGUGACCCGGGGUCUCGGGAUCCAGUCCCGUGUGGGGUCUCUGCGGGGAGCCUGCUUCUCUCUCUGCCUAUGUCUCUGCCUCUCUCUAUAUAUAUCUCAGGAAUAAAUAAUUUUAAAAAUGUAAAACUUAAAAUAAU